GUGCACUGUGCAGUGAGCACGCACGGUAGUAAACAAACGGCCACAAAUCACAGAACACCACACGAAAUACAAAUUGGCACGUGAUUUAACUAAAAUUGUCACACAUAAGUUUAAUUAUUGCAGACAGGGUGCGCAGGCGACGAAGGUAGCGCCGCUCGCCGCACCUCGAGCGCCUCGGACCUCUCGCCCGCGAGCCUCCGACUCGGCUGUAUGCACACAACGCCCUCGGUAAUGGAAGUACAGUAGGAGAGGGAAGCUGUUGACUUCACAAGACGUAAUUAUUAAAAUUAAAAUUUUGGAGAUUAUCGAGAUUGCAUCAAUUCUGGAAUCCUAUCAAAUUGUAAUGUUUACAAGUACUAAAAUGUAAUAAAGUUUGUCGAGAUUAAA